UCACUGUUUCCUGCUAUGGUGGGUAG
rnacentral:piRNA from 1 species